rnacentral:rRNA from 1 species
UACGGAGGGGGCUAGCGUUGUUCGGAAUUACUGGGCGUAAAGCGCACGUAGGCGGACUGUUAAGUCGGGGGUGAAAUCCUGGGGCUCAACCUCAGAAUUGCCUCCGAUACUGGCAGCCUCGAGUGCGGGAGAGGUGAGUGGAAUUCCCAGUGUAGAGGUGAAAUUCGUAGAUAUUGGGAAGAACACCAGUGGCGAAGGCGGCUCACUGGCCCGUAACUGACGCUGAGGUGCGAAAGCGUGGGGAGCAAACAGG